UGUAACUAUUGUCGCCUGUGGAUGAGCUAAUGGAUUCACUUUGAGCUCGUAGAAAGGACACGGUGUCGUGGGGAUCCCAGGCAGUCCUCUGACAUCUGACAUACCGCCAGCUUGCCUAAGGAUGUUAUUUCUUUGAGGGGGGCGUCAAGACACAAAACCUUUUCCUUUAAGGGAUUUGCUCACCCAGGAGGAGAUUUGAUGGUACUUACGGACUGGGGCUUCACUCCGCAUCUGCCUCUCCGUGAGAGCCUGUCUCCCCAGGCUGGCUGGUCCUCAGGACACAGGUGCUGCUGUUGUGGCUGCGUGCAUCCUAUGUGUGGCGACUCCACCUUCCAGCUAAAAUCCCAGCAAAGGGUCUCAUCCGGAGGCCCCGGGGCACACUUCUUUCAUCCGUGUGCCUUCCCUCGUUCUCUCGGGGUCCAGAGCAGCGAGGAAGGAAUGAAGAACCUGGGUCUGCCACCGUCUGUCGGUCCUCACCGCUGCAUCUCAGCUAAGGCUGCAGAAGUCAGUGCAGUAGCGGAACUGGCUAGGGCUCCUCGCGGUUGCCACGGUAACCAGGAGCAGGCUCCUGCCCUGGUGGCGGAGGAAGGCUGUGGAGAAAAGGUGCUUCUACCAAGGAAAGGAAAUGAGAGCAAGGGCUUGCAAUUCAGAAACUCUACCCUUUCUUUCAAACCCUGUGUGGAAGUGAGUAAUGGUGACACCUGCUUCCUGAUGGCACUAGGGAUUCAGCAGAGAAAUGGCAGCUGGACCCGACUACUGCCCAACGGAUUGCUGAUGACUG
rnacentral:lncRNA from 1 species